GCCCAGACUCCUGCGGGAGGCAGCAGUGGGGAAUAUUGCACAAUGGGGGAAACCCUGAUGCAGCGACGCCGCGUGAGCGAUGAAGUAUUUCGGUAUGUAAAGCUCUAUCAGCAGGGAAGAAGAUGACGGUACCUGACUAAGAAGCCCCGGCUAACUACGUGCCAGCAGCCGCGGUAAUACGUAGGGGGCAAGCGUUAUCCGGAUUUACUGGGUGUAAAGGGAGCGUAGACGGCAGGGCAAGUCUGGAGUGAAAGCCCGGGGCCCAACCCCGGGACUGCUUUGGAAACUGCCAUGCAAGAGUGCUGGAGAGGUAAGCGGAAUUCCUAGUGUAGCGGUGAAAUGCGUAGAUAUUAGGAGGAACACCAGUGGCGAAGGCGGCUUACUGGACAGUAACUGACGUUGAGGCUCGAAAGCGUGGGGAGCAAACAGGAUUAGAUACCCCCGUA
rnacentral:rRNA from 1 species